UACAGAGGUGGCAAGCGUUGUUCGGAAUUACUGGGCGUAAAGGGCGCGUAGGCGGCCUUCUAAGUCAGACGUGAAAUCCCCCGGCUUAACCUGGGAACUGCGUCUGAUACUGGGAGGCUUGAGUAUGGGAGAGGGAUGUAGAAUUCCAGGUGUAGCGGUGAAAUGCGUAGAUAUCUGGAGGAAUACCGGUGGCGAAGGCGGCAUCCUGGACCAUAACUGACACUGAGAGACGAGAGCCAGGGGAGCAAACGGG
rnacentral:rRNA from 1 species